rnacentral:lncRNA from 1 species
AAAAAUCUUAAAGUGAAAUCAUUAACUCAAAGAUCACGUGGUGUCUAAGUAGAAGAUUCAGUGUUUAAAUUUGGGUAAAUCUGAUGACAAAAUUCAUGCUUUUCCAACAAGCGAUAUGGCUUUCUCUAAGUAAGAGAAAGAAUACGAGUGAAUGGAUGUCACAAAAGCCAAGAUGAAGAAACUGAGUCUUCAGUUCUAUGUCAGGUGGAGGGAGAGUCACCAAAAGAGUUGAGGGAAUGGAAGCUGCCUGGUGAAGUGAAAAGUACUGGAUGGAGGUUAAGAGAGUUUCUUCUGAGGUCCUCAGAUGGGCACCUCCAAUACCUUCUUUUCAUCUGCUGUAAAAUGAAAUGUUCAACUAAAUAAAUUCUAAGUUUUAUUGCAGAGGUAACAAGCCAGAAUCCAUGUAUCCAUGUCUCUUGAUGCCUAAUCUCUGUAACUAACAACACUGAAUGUAGUCCAUAUAAAAAGAGUAGAAGGCUCUCUUACACAAACCUGAACUGACUGCUGAAGGCUAACUGUGUGGCUUUGAUUGAGGACCAUGCAAUGGAGAAAAGAUGGAAACUGCAGGGUGAUGCUUUCCCAUCAGUGCUAAAUUUGAGGGCUCAGCAGGAGACCAAUUAAUGCUCUGAAGAUUUAUGACAAUGUAAUCUGAAUUUACAUGUUUACAGAUACUAUUAGCAGUCAUAACCAGAAUGAGAGUAAUGAUUGGAAAAAUAUGUGC